AUGCCGGUGCCACCGUCACCCUUGGAGGUUCGAAGGGAACAGCUGGAUACCAUGGUGAAUGGAUGCAGUGAUGUUGGUUUCGUUCAAAGGAAGCCAGGGCGUGGUGAUACAACAUUGUCAGUGAGCUGUUUUGACAAAAUUAAUCGCUGGUGUAUUGUUGGGAUUCAAGGCGCAUUGCUGUCACACAUUCUCGAACCCUUGUAUUUGUCCACCAUUACCAUUGGACAAUCACCUGGUGGUGCACCUGACGGGUUUUGUAUUGAAAGUAACGUUGUAAAAGUUCUUGGUGCUCGCCUGUCCUGUCUAUCCAGAAAAUUCCCUGACCCUUUCAAACCGAACAAGCCACUAUUUUUUGAGGCACCUAUCCCCCCUCAAGAGUUUCAACAGACUUCAGGAGAUAUACCGCCUUUGACUUGCGGGUACUCAAUAUGCUGGAAUAAAUCCGGUUUGCAUGAAGUUGUUUUAGGAACAACUGGGAGAAAACAAGGUACAUCUUCAAAGGCAGCGUCCUUGCCCUCCACUGAGUCAUUGCUCUGCAAGAUAAGAUUGGCAGAGGCCUUCAUAUCACUUGAACAUUCACUAGUCACAAAAUUCCGUCAUGAGAACAUUUCUUAUCGUGCAAUUAAGGAUAUGGCUUGUGAGUACCAGCAGAUGCUUGAUCUUCUUAGAAAGGCUCCAUUUUUUGCCCGGUGGCAUGCUAAGCCAGUAUCGGUUGAUUCGUUUACAGUUCCACGGUGA
rnacentral:rRNA from 1 species